rnacentral:rRNA from 1 species
AGUGAACGCUGGCGGUAGGCCUAACACAUGCAAGUCGAACGGCAGCACAGUAAGAGCUUGCUCUUACGGGUGGCGAGUGGCGGACGGGUGAGGAAUACAUCGGAUUCUUCUUUUUCGUGGGGGAUUACGUAGGGCAACUUACGCUACUACCUCAUACGUCCUACGGCUUAAAUCAGGGGUUAUUCGGACUUUUCGCGUUUGAUAUAGACGAUGUCGGAUUAGAUAGUUGGCUGGGUAAAGGCCCACCAAGGCAACGAUCCGUAGCUGAUCUGAGAGGAUGAUCGGCCACACUGGAACUGAGACACGGUCCAGACUCCUACGGGAGGCAGCAGUAGGGAAUAUUGGACAAUGGGCGCAAGCCUGAUCCAGCCAUACCGCGUGAGUGAAGAAGGCCUUCGGGUUGUAAAGCCCUGUUGUUGGGAAAGAAAAGCAGCAUGUGAAAACCCCGCUGUUCUGACGGUACCCAAAGAGAAAGCACCGGCUAACUUCGUG